UACGUAGGGUGCAAGCGUUAAUCGGAAUUACUGGGCGUAAAGCGUGCGCAGGCGGUCGUGCAAGACAGAUGUGAAAUCCCCGGGCUCAACCUGGGAAUUGCAUUUGUGACUGCACGGCUAGAGUGUGUCAGAGGGGGGUAGAAUUCCACGUGUAGCAGUGAAAUGCGUAGAGAUGUGGAGGAAUACCGAUGGCGAAGGCAGCACUCUGGGCCGGUACUGACGCUGAGGCGCGAAAGCGUGGGGAGCAAACAGG
rnacentral:rRNA from 1 species